rnacentral:rRNA from 1 species
UACGGAGGGUGCAAGCGUUUGUCCGGAUUUAUUGGGUUUAAAGGGUGCGUAGGCGGUCUUUUAAGUCAGUGGUGAAAGCCUCCAGCUUAACUGGAGAACUGCCAUUGAUACUGGAAGACUUGAGUACAGACGAGGUAGGCGGAAUUGACAGUGUAGCGGUGAAAAUGCAUAGAUAUUGUCAAGAACACCGAUUGCGAAGGCAGCUUUCUAGACUGUAACUGACGCUGAGGCACGAAAAGUGUGGGGGAUCAAA